rnacentral:rRNA from 1 species
UACGGAGGGUGCAAGCGUUAUCCGGAUUCACUGGGUUUAAAGCGCGCGUAGGCGGCUUUGCAAGUCGGGUGUGAAAUCCCCAGGCUUAACCUGGGAACUGCAUUCGAGACUGCAUUGCUAGAGUAUGGGAGAGGGAAGUGGAAUUUCCGGUGUAGCGGUGAAAUGCGUAGAUAUCGGAAGGAACAUCAGUGGCGAAAGCGACUUCCUGGACCAAUACUGACGCUCAUGUGCGAAAGCGUGGGGAGCAAACAGG